UACGUAGGGUCCGAGCGUUAUCCGGAAUUAUUGGGCGUAAAGAGCUCGUAGGCGGUUUGUUGCGUCGGCUGUGAAAUCCCGAGGCUCAACCUCGGGUCUGCAGUCGAUACGAGCAAACUAGAGUGUUGCAGGGGAGACUGGAAUUCCUGGUGUAGCGGUGAAAUGCGCAGAUAUCAGGAGGAACACCGGUGGCGAAGGCGGGUCUCUGGGCAACAACUGACGCUGGAGGAGCGAAAGCGUGGGGAGCGAACAGG
rnacentral:rRNA from 1 species